AUUUUCUCUUCGCAGGCGGAGUGUAGAUCCCCAAAUUGCAAAGAGUGGCUCGAGAAUCUUUCAUUGAGUGGAGCACCUCGUCCGUCUUGGCCAAAAAUAGUUUCUCUCGGUCGAAAGUGGGAUGUCCUGGCUUUGGUCGACCUGCUUAAACUGUUCCUGAAACUGUUUGAAGUCAUCUGCCAAGUUUGGCGAGAGUGAUGAACAGUGCCCCUGAGCUCAGUCUUCAGCAGAGGAAGGCUGAGAAGGAACUGGAUGGCUCAGGUCAUGCGCGCACUAGACACGGCACCAAUGGCACAGCAAGAUGCCCACUGUGCACAUGCGACCCACACGGACACUACUACCAUAAAUCUCCAAUGGACGGUGCCAGGAUGCACCGACACCUGAAGUGGAGCACCCACAGGGACAGCACUCAAAGAAGAAUUUCUAUUUUUUCAAGUUAAUGGUCAAAAACCUGGUCUGAGGAACAAGAACAUUAAAGAAAGUUUAACACUCUUACUACUGUAAUAACUUCUAGGUCUUUCACAUAUGUCCGUUCAGUAGCAAGAAUCUCCUUUGCUAUGAAAUACACCUUGUCUGUUGGACAUUGCUGAAAGAAAAGAAAACUACCAAUUAGAAUUAAACAAACAUACAUACAUUACAUUUCUUAUGUUUAAUCAUGAACUCACUUUCAACCAGUUACUGUAUCUCAUGGGGAGAAUUCAAGCAAUGUUACUUUGGCAAAACUGUUACCUCCUGCUCUGAAAAUGGAAUGUUUCAUUUCCAGAGCACUGGUAGCCAGAUCAGUGUUGGAUUUCUCAAACAAACAAAUUUGUUGUAAAGUAUUUUUUAUUUGAGUCUAAAAGAAACCUCUAAACUAAAUUAGAUAACAAUACCACUUACACUUAGAUAGCACUUUUCAUUCCAAAAUCUCAAAGCACUUUACAAAAGUGGGAAAGGUAUUAUUUCAGCUUUGACAGAUUUUAAAUGAUUCUGUAAUAAAUUUAAGUACGACUUGUGUUUCUAAUACAACAGCAUCAGUGUUUUGUCAGUUUCCGAAUCACUCUGCUUUCAUUUACUCAAAGGUGACACUAAUUAGCAAAGCUCUUGACUCCUACUGAUGUAAAGAAAUUCCCAAAUUCUUGUAAUUUCUAAUACCCCUACUCCAGUUCAGGAGCGCUUUCCUCCAGGAGUCAUCCCAUUAAACUUCAAUGGGAUCACUUGCGGAAUAAGAAACUAGUCAACGUGAAUAAGGCAUCAGAAUCUGGUCCUUUGGUAGCUUUACUUUAGACAUCUAUAAUCAUCUUGCAUAAUUUUACCUGACAUUAACCUAAAGAGUCUUAUUUUAUCAAUUUUCUAUUUCCGUCAAAAAGCAGUAUAACCUCAGUGGGGCUCCCUCUCAUAAACAGUCUUUCCACAGUACACCAUAG